GAGGGUAUAGCUCAGUGGUAAAGUGCAAGCUUAGCAUGCAUAACGUCCUGGGUUCAAUCCCCAGUACCUCCA
rfam:Camelus ferus unplaced genomic scaffold scaffold1120, whole genome shotgun sequence.